rnacentral:rRNA from 1 species
GAGCACGCCGCGUGAGUGAUGAAGGUUUUCGGAUCGUAAAGCUCUGUUGUUAGGGAAGAACAAGUGCCGUUCAAAUAGGGCGGCACCUUGACGGUACCUAACCAGAAAGCCACGGCUAACUACGUGCCAGCAGCCGCGGUAAUACGUAGGUGGCAAGCGUUGUCCGGAAUUAUUGGGCGUAAAGGGCUCGCAGGCGGUUUCUUAAGUCUGAUGUGAAAGCCCCCGGCUCAACCGGGGAGGGUCAUUGGAAACUGGGGAACUUGAGUGCAGAAGAGGAGAGUGGAAUUCCACGUGUAGCGGUGAAAUGCGUAGAGAUGUGGAGGAACACCAGUGGCGAAGGCGACUCUCUGGUCUGUAACUGACGCUGAGGAGCGAAAGCGUGGGGAGCGAACAGGAUUAGAUACCCUGGUAGUCCACGCCGUAAACGAUGAGUGCUAAGUGUUAGGGGGUUUCCGCCCCUUAGUGCUGCAGCUAACGCAUUAAGCACUCCGCCUGGGGAGUACGGUCGCAAGACUGAAACUCAAAGGAAUUGACGGGGGCCCGCACAAGCGGUGGAGCAUGUGGUUUAAUUCGAAGCAACGCGAAGAACCUUACCAGGUCUUGACAUCCUCUGACAAUCCUAGAGAUAGGACGUCCCCUUCGGGGGCAGAGUGACAGGUGGUGCAUGGUUGUCGUCAGCUCGUGUCGUGAGAUGUUGGGUUAAGUCCCGCAACGAGCGCAACCCUUGAUCUUAGUUGCCAGCAUUCAGUUGGGCACUCUAAGGUGACUGCCGGUGACAAACCGGAGGAAGGUGGGGAUGACGUCAAAUCAUCAUGCCCCUUAUGACCUGGGCUACACACGUGCUACAAUGGACAGAACAAA